GAGUUUGAUUAUGGCUCAGGAUGAACGCUGGCGGUCUGCUUAACACAUGCAAGUCGAACGAACUCUUCGGAGUGAGUGGCGGACGGGUGAGUAACGCGUGAGAAUCUGCCUGUGGGUCGGGGACAACCACUGGAAACGGUGGCUAAUACCGGAUGAGCCGAAAGGUAAAAGAUUUAUUGCCCACAGAUGAGCUCGCGUCUGAUUAGCUAGUUGGUAAGGUAAAAGCGUACCAAGGCGACGAUCAGUAGCUGGUCUGAGAGGAUGAGCAGCCACACUGGGACUGAGACACGGCCCAGACUCCUACGGGAGGCAGCAGUGGGGAAUUUUCCGCAAUGGGCGAAAGCCUGACGGAGCAAGACCGCGUGGGGGAGGAAGGUUUUUGGAUCGUAAACCCCUUUUGUCAAGGAAGAAGCUCUGACGGUACUUGACGAAUAAGCCUCGGCUAACUCCGUGCCAGCAGCCGCGGUAAUACGGAGGAGGCAAGCGUUAUCCGGAAUGAUUGGGCGUAAAGCGUCUGUAGGUGGCCAGCUAAGUCUGCUGUUAAAGAUCACAGCUCAACUGUGGGAAGGCAGUGGAAACUGGCAAGCUAGAGGUUGGUAGGGGUAAAGGGAAUUCCCGGUGUAGCGGUGAAAUGCGUANAUAUCGGGAAGAACACCGGUGGCGAAAGCGCUUUACUGGGCCAGACCUGACACUGAAGGACGAAAGCUAGGGGAGCGAAAGGGAUUAGAUACCCCUGUAGUCCUAGCUGUAACCGAUGGANACUAGGUGUAGCACGUAUCGACCCGUGCUGUAUCGUANCCAACGCGUUAAGUCUCCCCCCUGGGGNAGUACCCNCGCAAGUGUGAAACUCAA
rnacentral:rRNA from 1 species